rnacentral:rRNA from 1 species
UACGUAGGGACCGAGCGUUGUCCGGAAUCAUUGGGCGUAAAGAGCGUGUAGGCGGCCACUUAAGUCCUGCGUGAAAUCUUGCGGCUCAACCGCAAGCGGUCGUGGGAAACUGGGUGGCUAGAGUGCGGGAGAGGAGAGUGGAAUUCCUGGUGUAGCGGUGAAAUGCGCAGAUAUCAGGAGGAACACCGGUGGCGAAGGCGGUUCUCUGGGCCUGUACUGACGCUGAGGAGCGAAAGCGUGGGGAGCGAACAGG